rnacentral:rRNA from 1 species
UACGAGGGGGGCUAGCGUUGCUCGGAAUGACUGGGCGUAAAGGGCGCGUAGGCGGAUGGCACAGUCAGAUGUGAAAUUCCCGGGCUUAACCUGGGGGCUGCAUUUGAUACGUGUUGUCUUGAGUUCGGAAGAGGGUCGUGGAAUUCCCAGUGUAGAGGUGAAAUUCGUAGAUAUUGGGAAGAACACCGGUGGCGAAGGCGGCGACCUGGUCCGACACUGACGCUGAGGCGCGGAAGCGUGGGGAGCAAACAGG